AUACGUAGGUGGCAAGCGUUGUCCGGAAUUAUUGGGCGUAAAGCGCAUGUAGGCGGUUUGGUAAGUCGGUCGUGAAAAUGCGGUGCUUAACGCCGUAUGGCGAUUGAAACUGCUGAACUUGAGUGCAGGAGAGGAAAGGGGAACUCCCAGUGGAGCGGUGAAAUGCGUAGAUAUUGGGAAGAACACCGGUGGCGAAGGCGCCUUUCUGGACUGUGUCUGACGCUCAGAUGCGAAAGCCAGGGUAGCGAACGGGAUUAGAUACCCCGGUAGUCCUGGCCGUAAACGAUGGGUACUAGGUGUGGGAGGUAUCGACUCCUUCCGUGCCGGAGUUAACGCAAUAAGUACCCCGCCUGGGGAGUACGGCCGCAAGGCUUAAACUCAAAUGAAUUGACGGGG
rnacentral:rRNA from 1 species